UACCCGCAGCACAAGUGGUGGUCAUUAUUAUUGGGCCUAAAGCGUCCGUAGCUGGCGUGUUAGAUGCCUGGGUAAAUCGAUGCGCUUAACGCAUCGAAUUCCGGGUAGACCGGCACGCUCGAGACCGGGAGAGGUAUGGGGUACUCGGGGGGUAGGGGUAAAAUCCUGUAAUCCUCCGGGGACGACCAGUGGCGAAGGCGCCAUACUAGAACGGCUCUGACAGUGAGGGACGAAGCCCUGGGGCGCAAACCGG
rnacentral:rRNA from 1 species